UACGUAGGUGACAAGCGUUGUCCGGAUUUACUGGGCGUAAAGAGCGCGCAGGCGGUCGAUCAAGUCGAGUGUGAAAGCCCCCGGCUCAACUGGGGAGGGUCUUUCGAUACUGAUCGACUCGAAGGCAGGAGAGGGUAGUGGAAUUCCCGGUGUAGUGGUGAAAUGCGUAGAUAUCGGGAGGAACACCAGUGGCGAAGGCGACUACCUGGCCUGUUCUUGACGCUGAGGCGCGAAAGCUAGGGGAGCAAACGGG
rnacentral:rRNA from 1 species